GGGGUUGGAAAGUCUUUGGCUGACCCUGCCCUGCUGUUGCUGCUGCUGCCCUUUCAAUGACAGAGUGAAUGGGUUCAGUGCUGCAAGCUUGAUCAUGACCACAUGCUGCGGUCGCGCUGGGGGCUUCCAAUGAUCCACGGUGCCAGGACGUAGGGAUUGCGGUGCACAGGCGCCACAAUUGGACCAGGUCCGGGCGGCUGGAUAGGUUGGAUGAGGUUUCGGACUUUCACCACAGCGACUGAGAUUUCUGCAGACGCUUGAGUAACGCUCUCAAUCAUUCCGGUGCCUGAAAGGUAAACUCCCGCCUUGAAAGACGAGACGAGGCGGAGCUUGGUACUGGAGGAAUGUUGGACUGCAUCAUUCGGUACUGAAUUCCUUUCACACCUGGGGAGCCGCGCCAAUCUUUGGUGCCGUGUUGUGAGCUCGUCGCGAUUCUCCGUUGAAUCUCGUGAGAAUUGUAGAGAUGCUUCCAAAAGCAAUCAAAUUAAUUCAUGAAUAAGAGUGCUUCCAUUUGUUUUUUGUUUUUUGUUUUUGUUUUUUUCAUCAGGUAAAUCAGUUACAAGGUGAUGGAAGUUGUCAUCCAACCAUAUUUGAAAAGUAUUGUGACGAGUAGUCUACAUAAAAGAAAUAGAUUCCUCGUCCGUCCUUCUAAACUUGACUUCGUUGCCGUAAGUAAACUGUGUGUGUGUGUGUGCGCGCGUUUUUCUUCUCACGAGUUAUUUUGGAAUUGGUGCAUGAGGAUUUCGAGGUCUGGAAAUCCACAUUUCGCUCUGAGUUCACCGCAUGUGCAACAAAGAUAAGUUGACCAUGAAUCGAACAGCUGUUACACAGGUGUUAGAAGGCGUUGUUGUUUUAUUACCGCUGAUUCAUCCUGAAUGCAACUGAUCGAUGUAGAACGUACACACAGCGUUCGAGGCAUAGGAACACUUGAGAGCAGCGACUUGUCUUGCUGUAGUCGGAACUGAGUCGCCACCAUGCUGGUGGAUUCUUGCUCUGGAUUCCUGCAGUGUUCCAUCUUCCUUUCCGACACAGCCUAACAUGCACUGUCAAGCUCCGGCUCACACGAUCUUGUUUUCGAGCUUGUUCUUCUUACAUCUAGUCAGGAUUUUCUAUCUUUGAAGUUCAGGCCUACUGUAUUAUAUAUAUAUAUAUAUAUAUAUAGAUAGGAUCAAUACUUUAAGAAUCUCAACUUUUUCUUCUACCUUCCUCGCACUUAAGGUUAAUUUUUUUUUUUUUUUUUUUUUUUUUUCUGUUCCUCUGUUUGCUACUUCCGUUGUUGUUCUAACAUGCAACGUGUAUACAUUUCUUUAUACAUAUAUAUAUAUAUAUAUAUAUAUUAAAACUGUUGACCUGUUAAGUUUAUACAGACAAGGAAGAAAUCUACAUGCACACAUGGCAGGAUUUGACUUUGUAUUAUUAGCUGACCCAAUGUCCAGCUGUACCAAAUUUAUGGUAUGAACACUCUCCAGGAAUCCAAUUCUCAACAAACUUAUUUUUCGGCAUAAAUAGUGUUUACUAUUGAUUUCUAUAUUAACUAAUCAAAUGUAUUUUGUCUGCUUAGAGUCUGCCACCUCCACAAUUUUGUAUGAAGAAUCUAAAUAUGUGACUUUUGACCCCAAAAAGAAACACGAUUCAAAGAAAGUAACUAUAUGAUACAGUUGUAGUGUCUGUAUAUAUAUAUAUAUAUAUAUAUAUGAGAUGUGCAUAAUGUUGAAAGUAAUAUUGUGCCACUUGCACAAGUCUCUUCAUUCACACACAACUCCAUAAGUUCUUAGUGCACAAUUUUGAUGGUACACAAAGAUUAUUAUUAUUAUUUUUAAAUUCUAUUAAUUUAUUAAUUUAUUUUUUCAUUGUUCAAUGUGAUUCAAGGCAAUAUACUUCUAGACACACACACCUGCAAAACAAGAGUACACAAGUGCCAUUAAAUGUCAUACCAAACUGUAACAUUCUCUUUUUCUCAUGAAAAUACUCCCAAAAAGGAACUCAUCAAAACAAAACCCACUAAUGCCAAAGUGAGGGUUUCCCACAUCCAAAUAGCUAAGCGUUCACUUUCUCUCCAUUUUUCAGAUUGCUACACAACCUUGUGCAAAGGAAGUUCCACAAACCAAUAAAAGUAAAAGGGGAUGGGGGAGGCAAACGAGGCAAUGGUGAUGGAGACAGAGUUUUGUUGUUGAGGAAUGUGCAAGAGCUCCACGCUCCCAACAAACAAACAAACAAACAAACAAAUAAAUAAAUAAAUAAAUAAAUAAAUAAAUAAAAUUGGCACUUGGGUUCUUGCUCACUUGCUCAUUGGCAUGGGAUUCACUCACUCACUCCAUUAUUGAUAAGCAUAAUCCCAAUUGGCAGGGUCUCUUUAAGCCUGCACCCCAUGUGCUAUCAUUGGGGGCUAUGGUGGUGCCUAGUCUUUGUUGCCCAUAAAA
rnacentral:lncRNA from 1 species